rnacentral:rRNA from 1 species
UACGGGGGGAGCAAGCGUUGUUCGGAUUUACUGGGCGUAAAGGGCGCGUAGGCGGUCAGCACAAGUCAGUUGUGAAAUCUCCGGGCUUAACUCGGAAAGGUCAACUGAUACUGUGCGACUAGAGUGCAGAAGGGGCAACUGGAAUUCUCGGUGUAGCGGUGAAAUGCGCAGAUAUCAGGAAGAACACCGAUGGCGAAGGCAGUUCUCUGGGACGGUACUGACGCUGAGACGCGAAAGCGUGGGGAGCGAACAGG